rnacentral:rRNA from 1 species
GACGUAGGGCGCGAGCGUUGUCCGGAUUUAUUGGGCGUAAAGAGCUCGUAGGCGGCUCGUCGCGUCGUCCGUGAAAACCCGCGGCUUAACCGCGGGCUUGCGGUUGAUACGGGCGGGCUAGAGUUCGGUAGGGGAGACUGGAAUUCCUGGUGUAGCGGUGAAAUGCGCAGAUAUCAGGAGGAACACCGGUGGCGAAGGCGGGUCUCUGGGCCGAUACUGACGCUGAGGAGCGAAAGCGUGGGGAGCGAACAGG